rnacentral:lncRNA from 10 species
GGUUUUUUCCAGGUAACUUAUGCAUGCAGAAGGUAACAAACACUCGUGCACACACACUGAAAAUCAGAAAGAGAGAGAGAGAGAGAGUUGCCAUAAUUAGUACUUUUGUUUAGAGAAGAAAGGCUGAAGCCUGGAGAAGUUAAGCAACAUGCUUAAAUCCACACAGCUAGUCAGAGGCAAAGCCAAGAUUUGAACGUGGGUAGUCUGAAUCCAGGAUCUUGGCCUUCACCCCUCUAUAACAUGACACCCUCAUCCCUGAAAAAAGAAAAAGUCAACCGAAAGCAUUGUGAAAAGUGUCCUCUAAUAAAAUGGCUAAUUCUGGCAACAGGCCCAGAGAGGGGAUGGAGAAAUCCACUUAGUUUUACUUUCAUGACUGAUACAUAUCUUAAAACUGAGUUUCUUGCUGGAAG